AUUUGAAGAGGCUCAAUGCGCUUAAGCAUUGGAUGCUUGUCAAGCUUGGUGGUACCUUUGCUCCAUUCAGUGUGUCAAGAUACGAGUGAUACAAACACCACUAUUUGUAUCUGGCAUAAACACAUUUCUGCAAGUUUUGUUUGGCACUAGGUUACCGGUAGUCAUUGGUGGUUGUCCUUUUGAUAUUGUACAUAUCAUCUGCAUUAUCGGAGAUUCAUCUCUACAACGAAUCACUGAACCUCAUGAAAGAUUUUUACACGGUAUGAUGGAAACUCAAGGAGUCCUGAUUGUAGCUGAACGAAGUCAUUGUACUGUUGUUGGUUUGCUUUGUAGUUAGUCGCAUGUGAACCAAGGAAACAACACAUUGAUGCUCUGUUUGAUAUCAUUUGUGAAGUAUUGUCAUAGGAGGAGCUGAAUUACCAUUUUGUUUUUUUAUCAGUUUAUUAGUUUAGCAUGUUGUUCUCAGAACAUAGCAAUCUUGGACACAUAUUAUCUGAACUCAGUAUUUCAUUUCUUUUUUUGUAGUUUUA